rnacentral:rRNA from 1 species
UACGAAGGGGGCUAGCGUUGUUCGGAAUUACUGGGCGUAAAGCGCGCGCAGGCGGCUCUUCAAGUCAGGGGUGAAAGCCCAGAGCUCAACUCUGGAACUGCCUUUGAGACUGUAGAGCUUGAGUACGGGGAGAGGUGAGUGGAAUUCCCAGUGUAGAGGUGAAAAUUCGUAGAUAUUGGGAAGAACACCGGUGGCGAAGGCGGCUCACUGGCCCGUUACUGACGCUCAGGCGCGACAGCGUGGGGAUCAAACAGG